AUGUUAAUCGACAAAACUUGCUGGAAAGACAAGGAUUUGCCGAAGUCAAAGAAAAAUGACGAAGCAGAGUCUCAGGGCAGCAUUGAUAUGUUCAAACUCUACAACUUGAAGCCAGCUUUGGCAACCACCUUUCCUGUUCUAGAUUUUAGCGACCAAGAUAUGUGUGAGAAGAUCAACUUUGCCAUUGACAAGAGCCUGUUCUUAUCAAGUGUUGCUGAAAAGAAUCAAAUUGACAUGGAGGAAGCAGGAAAGGGUCUUGACUGGGUUCAUUCAAAGGAAAAAUACAAGGAAUAUUUGAAGCAGCUUCCAGACCUAAGCUCCGGCAAGAGCAAGGCAGAAUCCAUGGCAAACCCUCACGUGGUCCGGAAGCGCAAAGCAGUUUCAAUGAAGAAGAAUCUGCAGUUGCCUCAACCCAAGGAGAAGAUGGUGAGUGCAGAUGCUGAAGUAAAUAUGGUCAAGGAAGUUGUGCUUCAAACUGAUACGCCAACUGUAGUGAGCAGAUAG
rnacentral:rRNA from 1 species